UACGGGGGGAGCAAGCGUUGUUCGGAUUUACUGGGCGUAAAGGGCGCGUAGGCGGCCACUGCAAGUCGACUGUGAAAUCUCUGGGCUUAACCCAGAAAGGUCAGCCGAUACUGCGGGGCUAGAGUGCAGAAGGGGCAACUGGAAUUCUCGGUGUAGCGGUGAAAUGCGUAGAUAUCGAGAGGAACACCUGCGGCGAAGGCGGGUUGCUGGGCUGACACUGACGCUGAAGCGCGAAAGCUAGGGGAGCGAACGGG
rnacentral:rRNA from 1 species